UUGUGUAAUAAUUUAUUUAUUUAAAAAAAUAAUUAAUUUUAAUGUUGAAGUAAUAUUAUAGAAAAAAUAUAAAAAUUUUAAAAAAGAUUAGUAAUGUGAAUGAAAUGAUUUAAUAAAUUAAAAUUUAAUAAAGAAAAUUUUAAUUAUUGUAUCUUGGGUAUCAGAGUUUAAUAAAAAAAAUUAAAGAUUUAGAGUUUAAAGAUCUCGAAAAAUAAAGAGUUAGUUAAUUAAUUUAGUUAAUGUGAAAUAAUCAUUAAAAAUAGUUAUCUGGAAAUGAAAAGUUAUUCGGUUUAUUUUAUAUCUAGUUGUUAGAGAAAUAAAUUAAAUUUAGUUUAUUAAAAGUGUAUAAUUUGUAAGUAAAGUUUAUAUUAAUAUAUAAAUUAUUGUUAUAUUAUCAGAUUGAUAAAUAAUAUAUAUAGGGAUAAGCUUAUAUGUAAAGGUUUAAAUAAUUAGAGUAAUUAAAAAUAAAUUUAAUAAAAAUAAAAUUUUUAUUUUUAUUGAAGUUUUUAAUAAAUAAAUUUAAUUAAAUGAAUUAAUAUUUAAAAUUUAAAUUUGUUAUUAAAGAUUUAUUUAACAAAGUUUUAUAAUUUGUUUAAAAAAGAUAUUAUUUUAGAAUUAGUAUAAAAUUAUAUAAUUGUUAAUUUGAUGGAAUAAUUUAAAUGAAUUAGGCAAAAAUUUUUUUUUAAUAAAUAAAUUAUAUUGACCUGUUUAACAAAAACAUGUCCUUUAGAGGUAACUUUGAUUAAAUUUAAUCAAAGUUAGUAUUUAUUUAAGGUCGAAUCUGCCCACUGAAAUUUAAAUUUUAAAGGGCCGCAGUAUUUUGACUGUGCUAAGGUAGCAUAAUAAAUAGUUUUUUGAUUGAUAACUAGAAUGAAUGAUUUGAUAAAAUAUAAGCUGUAUAGAAAAUAUUUGUAAAAUUUUUUUUUCUUAUAAAAAAAUAAGAAUGAGAUAAAAAGACGAGAAGACCCUAUAGAUCUUUAUUAUUAUGUGAUUUAAUUAAUUAGAUUAUUUUUUAUUAGUAAGUUUAAAUUAUAUAAUAAUUUAAUUGGGGUGAUUAAGAAAUUUAAUUAACUUUUAUAUUUAUAAAUGUAUUUACAUUAAUGAAUGAAUUUUUUGAUCCAAAUUAUUGAUUAUUAGAUUAAGUUACCUUAGGGAUAACAGCGUAAUUUUAAUUUUAAGAUCUUAUUGAAAUUAAAGAUUGCGACCUCGAUGUUGGAUUAAGAUUAAUUUUAAAUGAAGUAGUUUAAAAAUUUAGUCUGUUCGACUAUUAAAAUCUUACAUGAUCUGAGUUCAAACCGGUGUGAGCCAGGUUGGUUUCUAUCUUUUAUAAAAAUAGAUUAUUUAGUACGAAAGGAUUGAUAUAUUUGAAAUAAAGUUUAUGGGAUUUAA
rnacentral:rRNA from 1 species